GACGAACGCUGGCGGCGUGCCUAACACAUGCAAGUCGAGCGAGAGAGUUCCUUCGGGAACAAACCUAGCGCGACGGGUGAGUAACACUGGGCAACCUGCCUUGUANAGGGAAUAGCCUUCCGAAAAGGAAGAUUAAUACCGCAUAACAUUACAGUUUCGCAUGAAACAGUAAUUAAAGGAGUAAUCCGCUACAAGAUGGGCCCGCGGCGCAUUAGCUAGUUGGUGAGGUAACGGCUCACCAAGGCGACGAUGCGUAGCCGACCUGAGAGGGUGAUCGGCCACAUUGGGACUGAGACACGGCCCAGACUCCUACGGGAGGCAGCAGUGGGGAAUAUUGCACAAUGGGGGAAACCCUGAUGCAGCAACGCCGCGUGAGUGAUGAAGGUUUUCGGAUCGUAAAGCUCUGUCUUCGGGGACGAUAAUGACGGUACCCGAGGAGGAAGCCACGGCUAACUACGUG
rnacentral:rRNA from 1 species